rnacentral:rRNA from 1 species
UGUUAAACUCCUGACGAGCUGACGGAGCACGCCGCGUGAGUGAUGAAGGUCUUCGGAUCGUAAAACUCUGUUAUUAGGGAAGAACAAAUGUGUAAGUAACUAUGCACGUCUUGACGGUACCUAAUCAGAAAGCCACGGCUAACUACGUGCCAGCAGCCGCGGUAAUACGUAGGUGGCAAGCGUUAUCCGGAAUUAUUGGGCGUAAAGCGCGCGUAGGCGGUUUUUUAAGUCUGAUGUGAAAGCCCACGGCUCAACCGUGGAGGGUCAUUGGAAACUGGAAAACUUGAGUGCAGAAGAGGAAAGUGGAAUUCCAUGUGUAGCGGUGAAAUGCGCAGAGAUAUGGAGGAACACCAGUGGCGAAGGCGACUUUCUGGUCUGUAACUGACGCUGAUGUGCGAAAGCGUGGGGAUCAAACAGGAUUAGAUACCCCCAGUAGUCCA